UACGUAGGGGGCAAGCGUUGUCCGGAGUUACUGGGCGUAAAGCGCACGCAGGCGGUCUCUUAAGUUUGGAGUGACAGUUGGUGGCUUAAUUGCCAAAGUGCUUCGAAAACUGAGAGACUUGAGGGCUUCAGAGGGACACGGAAUUCCGGGGUGGAGUGGUGAAAUGCGUAGAGAUCCGGAGGAACACCAAAGGCGAAGGCAGUGUCCUGGGGAGUACCUGACGCUCAGGUGCGAAAGCCAGGGGAGCGAAACGGGG
rnacentral:rRNA from 1 species